AAUAUUGCGCAAUGAGCGAAAGCUUGACGCAGCGACACCGCGUGUGGGAUGACGGAUCUAGGUUUGUAAACCACUUUCAGGAGGGAAGAAAAUGACGGUACCUCCACAAGAAGCCCCGGCCAACUACGUGCCAGCAGCCGCGGUAAUACGUAGGGGGCGAGCGUUGUCCGGAUUUAUUGGGCGUAAAGAGCUCGUAGGCGGUUCAACAAGUCGGUCGUGAAAGUUCAGGGCUCAACCCUGAAAUGUCGAUCGAUACUGUUGUGACUAGGAUACGGUAGAGGUGAGUGGAAUUCCGAGUGUAGCGGUGAAAUGCGUAGAUAUUCGGAGGAACACCAAUUGCGAAGGCAGCUCACUGGGCCGCUAUCGACGCUGAGGAGCGAAAGCUAGGGGAGCAAACAGGAUUAGAUACCCUGGUAGUCCUAGCUGUAAACGAUGGAUACUAGACGUAGGAAUUGGAUUAACGAUUUCUGUGUCGUAGCUAACGCGUUAAGUAUCCCGCCUGGGGAGUACGGUCGCAAGACUAAAACUCAAAGGAAUUGACGGAAUCUC
rnacentral:rRNA from 1 species